CCUAACACAUGCAAGUCGAGCGCGUACCUCGGGUACGAGCGGCGGACGGGUGAGUAACACGUAGGUCAUCUACCCUUUGUGGGGGGAUAACCCAGGGAAACUUGGGCUAAUACCGCACGAGGUCUACGGAUCAAAGCCUUCGGGCGCCAGAGGAUGAGCCUGCGUCGCAUUACCUAGUUGGUAGGGUAAUGGCCUACCAAGGGGACGAUGCGUAGCUGGUCUGAGAGGAUGAUCAGCCACACUGGGACUGAGACACGGCCCAGACUCCUACGGGAGGCAGCAGUGGGGAAUAUUGCGCAAUGGGGGAAACCCUGACGCAGCCACGCCGCGUGGGUGAUGAAGGCCUUCGGGUUGUAAAGCCCUGUCGGGAGGGACGAAUUCAUGACGGUACCUCCAAAGAAAAGCACCGGCUAACUCCGUGCCAGCAGCCGCGGUAAUACGGAGGGUGCGAGCGUUGCUCGGAA
rnacentral:rRNA from 1 species